GUAGUCAUAUGCUUGUCUCAAAGACUAAGCCAUGCAUGUCCGAGUUAAAGCCGUAGAAAAAGUGAAACUGCGAAUGGCUCAUUAAAUCAGUUACCGUUCACUUGAAGAAUGAACUGCUACAUGGAUACCUGUGGCAAGUGGAGAGCUAACACAUGCACGUAACGUCCCAACUCAAGAGUGGAUGUGCUAGUUAGACUGCAAACCAACCGGGGUCAAACCCGACCGGUGAAGCAUACACUUAUCAUUCGGAUCGCACGUCCUCGCGACGGCGACGCUUCAUUCAAGUAACUGCCCUAUCACGUUGUCGGUAGUGUCUUGGACUACCGAGCGGGUCACGGGUAACGGGGAAUCAGAGUUCGAUUCCGGAGAAGGAGCAUGAGACACGGCUACUACAUCCAAGGAAGGCAGCAGGCGCGCAAAUUACCCAAUCGGCAUUGCCGGAGGUAGUGACAGUACCUAUCAAUGGGGAGCCCUUUGGGUUCCCUAAUUGGAAUGAGAUAGUCCUAAAUCACGUGUUGAGGAACUAUUGGAGGGCAAGUCUGGUGCCAGCAGCCGCGGUAAUUCCAGCUCCAACAGCGUAUAUUAAAGUUGUUGCGGUUAAAACGUUCGUAGUCGAACAUCGGAGGCGGACGGAUCACCGGAUCACCCGCUCUGCGGGCCCGGCCGUCGACAGCUCUCUUACAUCCUCGCUGCGUGAACUCCGGGCGACCGGGGGGAGCCACGGGAUCUUACCUCGAACAAAUGAGAACGCUUGAGGUUGGCAAAGACUGCCAGAAUCGAUUAGCAUGGAAUAACAGAUUGACGGCGACGUCGUCUGUUGGUUGGCACA
rnacentral:rRNA from 1 species